ensembl:lncRNA
UUUUUUUUUUUUUUUUUUUUAACACUCCUAUUCUUAAGGGUGUGUUGGUGUAUUGGAGGCACAAAUUGGUGCAUUGGUCCAUAGCAAUUCUGAAAUUGAGUCAGACACAUGUCACCAGAUUCUUGUCUAGGGCUCAGUUCUGCUUGGCUCUUGGUUCUUCUUGGCUCUUGGCUUCUAGGUUCUUGACUUCAUUUUCUGAGUUAACUCUCUAUUUUCCACAAGAAGUAUCUGUGUUGAUAGCUAAGUAGCUUUCUCAGCCUAGUUCUUGCCCAUUUGAAGUUGAAGACUCAAAAACUUCUUUUGGUUUUAAGCCAUCUUUGUCCGUUUUAGUCCAAAAUGAUAUAAUUCGUGUAAAAAUAUGGCCUCACUGUGCAUCAACUUAUAAUUCACUUAAUAGACAAAGCCAUACCUACAAAUCUUUUUAAGAUUGGUCUCUCUCCAGCUUGGACUGAGAGUCAGGGUGCUGGGAGUAAAUGCCCUUGAGAUUCCUAAAAGCCUUCUAGUCUGAAAGAGCCUAAGAGGCACACUUCUAGAAUUAUUAGACGUUGUAUUAUUUAUCUGAGAAGAUCUGGGAAACUUGCCCUUAAAUAUUUUUGAGGUCUCAUUACAAGGUCUUACCUUUGACUUACUUCAUCUUUAUCCUGAGAUCCUUUCUAUUGUCAGGGAUCUGGAUUUGAUGUUUGCCCCAAGGGCAUUUAUUAGUUUGAGAGUCAUUUGCUGGCUGGAAAGACUGUACUGGGCCCUCUAUAUUUCCUUCUAAUUCUUUAAGAAGUUGAGUAGUUCCUUCGUUUUUUUUUUUUUAGAUGGAGUCUUACUCUGUCGCCUAGGCUGGAGGUGCAGUGGUGCAAUCUUGGCCCACUGCAACCUUUGCCUCCUGGGUGAGUAGUUCCUUCUUUAGUUCAACAUUUUUUUUUUUUUUUUUUGAGACAGAGUCUCGCUCUGUUGCCAGGCUGGAGUGCAGUGGCACGACUUGGCUCACUGCAACCUCUGCCUCCCGGGUUCAAGCAGUUCUCCUGCCUCAGUUUCCCUAGUAGCUGGGACUACAGGCAUGCACCACAAUGCUCAGCUAAUUUUUUGUAUCUUUAGUAGAGAUGGAGUUUCACCAUAUUGGCCAGGAUGGUCUUGAUCUCCUGACCUUGUGGUCCGCCCACCUUGGCCUCCCAAAGUGCUGGGAUUACAGGCAUGAGCCACCAUGUCUGGCUUAGUUCAACUUUCUAGUCUCAUAUUUUAUCAUAGGCAGCCAGAAGAAGCCAACUGGUACUUUCAUAUUCUGCAUAAAAAUCUCCUUACUCAUAUCCAUAAACUGAUUAGGUACCUUUCUGUUUUCCAUGUAACCACAGAUAACAGUGUUGCCAGACAUUCUGCUAUUACCUAACAGGAUCUCUUUUUUCUAGAUUCCAGUAACAAUUUCCUCACUGUCCUUCAAAUCAUUACUAACAAUCUUCUAGAGACCCUUCCGGCUUUCACCCAUUGCCUGUUCCCAAAGCCAGUGACACCUGUUUCAGUUUUUUUGCAAUAGCAGCAUCCUACUCUUGUAGGUCGUUGAUGAAAGAUGCAAGGAACCAGCUCAUGCUAACUUUCUAAACUUUUUUCUACCACUUCCUCUAUCAUUACACCUAGGUUUCUAUUUGGUCCAUAUUGCAAGAUAUGCCAUGGUCUGACCAAAUAUAUUGUCAUUUCACAACAAAGGUCCUGACUUUCCAGCCUGACAUAUUGGGUCAUCAUAUCUCACUACCUUCCUCCCUCUACUUAGCCAAGUUCACAUUUUAGAUUUUAGAGGUGGAGUUUCACCAUAUUGGUCAGGCUGGUGUCGAACUCCUGACCUCGUGAUUGUCCACCUCGGCC